CAGUCUGGCCAUGGCACUCUGAUAAUGCCACGUCUUUUCUAAUUUUGGAAAUUAAGCAGGGUUGGGUCUAUUUGUACUUAGAUACUUAGAUGGGAGACAAACUGAUUGGGUAAU
ensembl:rRNA 5S_rRNA 5S ribosomal RNA